UUGAUCGACUAUCAAUGAUCAAU
rnacentral:siRNA from 1 species